rnacentral:rRNA from 1 species
AGAGUUUGAUUCUGGCUCAGAACGAACGCUGGCGGCGUGGAUAAGACAUGCAAGUCGAACGAGAGAAUUGCUAGCUUGCUAAUAAUUCUCUAGUGGCGCACGGGUGAGUAACACGUGAGUAACCUGCCCCCGAGAGCGGGAUAGCCCUGGGAAACUGGGAUUAAUACCGCAUAGUAUCGAAAGAUUAAAGCAGCAAUGCGCUUGGGGAUGGGCUCGCGGCCUAUUAGUUAGUUGGUGAGGUAACGGCUCACCAAGGCGAUGACGGGUAGCCGGUCUGAGAGGAUGUCCGGCCACACUGGAACUGAGACACGGUCCAGACACCUACGGGUGGCAGCAGUCGAGAAUCAUUCACAAUGGGGGAAACCCUGAUGGUGCGACGCCGCGUGGGGGAAUGAAGGUCUUCGGAUUGUAAACCCCUGUCAUGUGGGAGCAAAUUAAAAAGAUAGUACCACAAGAGGAAGAGACGGCUAACUCUGUGCCAGCAGCCGCGGUAAUACAGAGGUCUCAAGCGUUGUUCGGAAUCACUGGGCGUAAAGCGUGCGUAGGCUGUUUCGUAAGUCGUGUGUGAAAGGCGCGGGCUCAACCCGCGGACGGCACAUGAUACUGCGAGACUAGAGUAAUGGAGGGGGAACCGGAAUUCUCGGUGUAGCAGUGAAAUGCGUAGAUAUCGAGAGGAACACUCGUGGCGAAGGCGGGUUCCUGGACAUUAACUGACGCUGAGGCACGAAGGCCAGGGGAGCGAAAGGGAUUAGAUACCCCUGUAGUCCUGGCAGUAAACGGUGCACGCUUGGUGUGCGGGGAAUCGACCCCCUGCGUGCCGGAGCUAACGCGUUAAGCGUGCCGCCUGGGGAGUACGGUCGCAAGAUUAAAACUCAAAGAAAUUGACGGGGACCCGCACAAGCGGUGGAGUAUGUGGCUUAAUUCGAUGCAACGCGAAGAACCUUACCUGGGCUUGACAUGUAAUGAACAACAUGUGAAAGCAUGCGACUCUUCGGAGGCGUUACACAGGUGCUGCAUGGCCGUCGUCAGCUCGUGUCGUGAGAUGUUUGGUUAAGUCCAGCAACGAGCGCAACCCCUGUUGCCAGUUACCAGCACGUGAAGGUGGGGACUCUGGCGAGACUGCCCAGAUCAACUGGGAGGAAGGUGGGGACGACGUCAGGUCAGUAUGGCCCUUAUGCCCAGGGCUGCACACGUACUACAAUGCCCAGUACAGAGGGGGCCGAAGCCGCGAGGCGGAGGAAAUCCUGAAAACUGGGCCCAGUUCGGACUGUAGGCUGCAACCCGCCUACACGAAGCCGGAAUCGCUAGUAAUGGCGCAUCAGCUACGGCGCCGUGAAUACGUUCCCGGGUCUUGUACACACCGCCCGUCACAUCAUGGAAGCCGGUCGCACCCGAAGUAUCUGAAGCCAACCGCAAGGAGGCAGGGUCCUAAGGUGAGACUGGUAACUGGGAUGAAGUCGUAACAAGGUAGCCGUAGGAGAACCUGCGG